GAAUUAGAUUUCAUAUAGAGGAAGAAUAUUGGAGAAACUUGUAUGUAAUGGUCUAAUCUUCUUAGGAAGUCUGUGGUAAGGAGAUCAGUUUUGCUGACAUAAAUGACCAAUUUAUUCACUAGUAGGAUAUGUGUGGAUCUUACUCCCUCUUAUUUAGUAGCCAGAAUGAAAUUUUUGAAAUAUGUAUUUUUCUUAUUUUUAAGGAUAUUUCUUUUCUGUGUGAUGUUAAAUAUGUAAAAGAAGAGACUAGAGAGAAUGCAAUUUGUCCCCCACAUUUGGACCAUGCAUUACAAUCCAAAGAUGAUCAUGAGGAACAUGAUGGUGUCCUCAUGCCUCAGAAGAUGCACCAGCUAUUAUAUACGUUAGAGAAGGAGCAGAGCAUCUACAACACAGUAUUUCAUGAACUUACUCGACAAGUCAGUGUGGAUGUGCAGAUAGAAAAGAGCUACUGUCCAAAAUCAGGUUAGAGCUAUUGUUGGAGUCUUUUAUUUGUUUCUUUUUUUUUGGUAGUACUUAGGACUGAACCCUGGAAUUAUAGAUGUGUACCACCAUGUGGGCUCCUUUUUAUUUUUUAUUUUGAAACAGAGUCUCCCUAAGUUGCCCACAUUGGGCUCAGACUUGCAGCCCUCCUGCCUCAGCCUUUUGAGCUGCUCAAAUUACAGGCAUGCACCAUUGUGGUUGGCCUAGUUUCCUUUUGAAUUUUAUUUUAUUUUAUUUUUUUUGGUACCGGGGAUCAAACUUGGAACCUUGAACUUGCCAGGCAGGCAGCAGAACCACUGAACUAAAUCCCAGGCCCUACAAGUCUCUUAUCAGAUAACAUAGUUUGAAAAUACUCUCUCUCAUUCUCUG
rnacentral:lncRNA from 1 species